CUCAAUUCAAGUAGAACCGUUUUCGUAAGCCUCCAGGUUUCUGCCCCUAGCUGACUACUGAUAUCUUAUGAAGGAGAAGAAGGAGAACCGAGGGACCCGACCUUCGUUAACUACAACCCUAUAAAGCCAAUAGAAAAUGAAGCCAAGGAAAGCAAAGGAUGACAUUGUCCUGUUCAGCCACACUGGGGACGAGCUACAACUAAUGAUUGGGGACCUUACCAGAGAGAGAAUAAGACUGUGGUUGAAGAUUAUUAUGCAGAAGACAAAGGCAAUGACCAAUAGCCGGGCAAGAGAACAAGAGUUCAGGAUCACCAGUCAGCCUCUAGAGUCUGU